rnacentral:rRNA from 1 species
UACGUAGGGGGCUAGCGUUGUCCGGAAUUACUGGGCGUAAAGCGCACGUAGGCGGCUUUGUAAGUUAGAGGUGAAAGCCCAGGGCUCAACCCUGGAAUUGCCUUUAAGACUGCAUCGCUUGAACAUCGGAGAGGUAAGUGGAAUUCCGAGUGUAGAGGUGAAAUUCGUAGAUAUUCGGAAGAACACCAGUGGCGAAGGCGACUUACUGGACGAUUGUUGACGCUGAGGUGCGAAAGCGUGGGGAGCAAACAGG